CGACGUAGGCCAUGGCCAGCAGCCUCCACCACGAGCACGCAGAGCGAGCGGGGAUUUCUACGAAAAAUUCCUCCUCUUCCCUACAAAAUCCUAAACGUGGGGUCCUCUGCAGCCAACUGCCGCUUGGGCCGCCUCCGGAAAAAGUACCGGGCGGGGGAGGGGGGACAACCACAAACACUCGCGCGCACACGCUCACUUCGUGUCCGCGACCAUCGUCGCCGGCGGAAAGCGAGCCACGGGAGGGAGUGUGUGCGCGCGUGUGUCUCGGCGGUGACCGCGCCGAGCUCUUGGGCUGGCGGCCUCCGAGCCCAAGGGCGCGGCGUGGGCUGCAGGCGACCCGCCACGCCGCUGGGCCUCCCGCCUGAGAAAGGCCCAGGCGCGCCCGGGCUCCCGCGCGCCUCUGCCCAACUCGCCCGGGGCGCUGGGGGCAGCGCGAGGGAGAGAAAGAAAGGCGCUUCCCCUCGGCCGCGCGGGGCCGUCCGGCGCCGGGGAGGGCUGGGAGGAGGCGGGACCGCGGCGGCCCGGCUGUCCCUAUGCCGCACCGGGUCCCCGCCGCCUGGGGCGCGCCCUAGCCGGCCCCUCCUGGUAAACUUUUUCUUUUUGAUUCGCCCCACCCGAAAAGUGCGGCCCGGGCGGGGAAGGUGGGGGAGGCGGGCGGGCCGGGCUGCCGGCGGCGGCGGCGGCGGGCGAGGAGGAAGUGGUGCCCGCGGGAGCGCGGCCGGGCAGAGGAAAUGCCCGGCCCCCGCCCGCGCCCGCCGCCCGGCCCGCCCAGGCCCCCCGCCCCGCCGCUACUUUGGCGGGCCGAGCCCCGCGCGGCAGUGGUGGCGGCAGCAGCAGAUGUGGCCCGGCUGCCCGGAGAAGCCAACAAUGCGGGGCCGGCAAAACAAAAGGGUUCCACUUCGCCUCCUUUCCCGUCUUUCACUUGCGCUCCCGGGGCGCCGCGCGGGAUCCCCCGCCGGUAGGGGCAGCGCCCCCGGGGACCGCGGGCCGCUCGCGCCCCGACUUCCCCACGGACCCCCUCUUCUGUGCACCCCCCUGCCUCGUAGGCGCAAGGCCCGCCGCACCCCGGCGCGCUCGGACUCCUGUUCCCCGGAGAUCCGGCCGUAUUGUCCCCGCGGCGCGUCGCGCGCUCGGCCUGGGUCGCCAGCGGCCCCCGCGCGCGCACCCACCGGGCUCAGGGAGCAGGAGCCGGGGGCGCCCAGGGAACGGUCUCCGAGACGCCGCCGCCGCCCCUGCCCUCCGGACGCCGCCGCGCUCGGGCUUUUUUUUUUUUUUUUUCCAACCCUGAUGGGAAGGAAGGUGACCGCCUACUUCGCAUUCAUCAACUCUCAUCACAACAACAAAAAUCCUGGCGCAAACCGCGGCCAGCGGGCGCAAUCGGUGGCGGGGGCGGGCGGGGACCCCGGGGCCAGGGUCCACCCCUGGGCGCCGAGGGAGAACACGGGGCCCGGGGCACGGACCAAAGAUGUCCUCGGAUGCCGGCUCCGUGUCCUUCGCCCUCUUCCUCCUCCUCCUCCCCCCCGAGUGGCGCAGUGA
rnacentral:lncRNA from 13 species